CCCAGUAGCAAAACUAGAAUUGUUUGAAGGUUGGUUUCACAAUAUGGUUACAUAUAAAAAAAAGAAUGUUUUAGUUCACUAAAAUAAUUUAACUGCGGAUGGAGGGAGCGUCUAGAUAUCCAAAAAAACCCCUCCCUAGUUUCGCUACUGAACACAAUGUUUUUGGAUAUUCUCGGACGUUUGUUGUUGAAUCAAUUUUCGUCACUCGCUAGUAAAGAAAAAAACCACGUACCCACAUAUAACAUGUAUUUCGACUCUUUUGGACUCUAUUAUUUCGUUUUACCGUUCGUGAAAAACAAAAAAACCGUUUCUAUCGUGAAAUCUCUACUAUGUAGGUAUAAGUGUAUUGCAUGUGGUGUCGUAAGAAAUUCAAAGACCGCCGAAAUUCCGCCCUCGGCGAUCCGCGCCCGAGUUGACCUGCCAAAAUUUGCAUAACAAAAAAUAAAGCGACGAGUCAUGUAAACGUUGACUUUCGGUUUUGAAACUCGUUUGCGGCAAUGAUAAAU